rnacentral:rRNA from 1 species
UACGUAGGGUGCGAGCGUUAAUCGGAAUUACUGGGCGUAAAGCGUGCGCAGGCGGUUCGUUAAGUUCGUCGUGAAAGCCCCGGGCUCAACCUGGGAAUGGCGAUGGAAACUGGCGGGCUGGAGUAUGGCAGAGGGGGGUGGAAUUCCGCGUGUAGCAGUGAAAUGCGUAGAGAUGCGGAGGAACACCGAUGGCGAAGGCAGACCCCUGGGCCAAUACUGACGCUCAGGCACGAAAGCGUGGGGAGCAAACAGG